AAGCUACACUCUGUGUCAGUAGUCCCUCGGGACAAUGAUCUGACUCAAUUUGAGCUUUGCUACAGAGAGGUUCAGUCUCACUUCAUUCACUGGUCCCUCCCUCUGUGACGUCUGGUGAAACGUGAACUGGCACAUU
rnacentral:snoRNA from 1 species